GAUGAACGCUGGCGGCGUGCCUAAUACAUGCAGGUCGAGCGAACGGACGAGAAGCUUGCUUCUCUGAUGUUAGCGGCGGACGGGUGAGUAACACGUGGAUAACCUACCUAUAAGACUGGGAUAACUUCGGGAAACCGUAGCUAAUACCGGAUAAUAUUUUGAACCGCAUGGUUCAAAAGUGAAAGACGGUCUUGCUGUCACUUAUAGAUGGAUCCGCGCUGCAUUAGCUAGUUGGUAAGGUAACGGCUUACCAAGGCAACGAUGCAUAGCCGACCUGAGAGGGUGAUCGGCCACACUGGAACUGAGACACGGUCCAGACUCCUACGGGAGGCAGCAGUAGGGAAUCUUCCGCAAUGGGCGAAAGCCUGACGGAGCAACGCCGCGUGAGUGAUGAAGGUCUUCGGAUCGUAAAACUCUGCUAUUAGGGAAGAACAUAUGUGUAAGUAACUGUGCACAUCUUGACGGUACCUAAUCAGAAAGCCACGGCUAACUACGUG
rnacentral:rRNA from 1 species